GGCACCUAAUUGGUGGAACGACCCACCCCUCUCAGAGAAGUUUGUCAUUCUCUCCUAGCAACAGCUUGGUCGUUCUAUAGGCUACAAACGUGUCAUACAGGCCUAUUGUUUCCAACAACCUUUUUGGGCGAGACGCAUUAAACUUAAUCUAGAUAGUAAAAUAGCUAUCAGGAUACGCUUCCUUGAAAUAUAAAGUAAUAAACUCGUGCAAAAGGUGGUUCCCAUUCAGCAUGUGUACCUUUGGCGCGUUGGACAAGCUCGGAUCCCACGGCAGACACUAUUCACAUGGAGGAGAGAUAAAUUACAGACCGCACAUUCAGCACAUAGAGCCCAACCUAACAGAGGUAGCUAAGAUACAGAACAGGCACAGUGACCUUUGCAAGCUAAAUCCAAGUCCAGCGCGUUGAGAGGAUCUAAGAACACCAGACUGUAGGCAAUAGCAUUCCUUUAUAAUUUCACUUCAUUCAUUGACAUACCAAGAUACGUCAUUGUCAGAGUUAAUGUAAGAUGAACACAAAAGACUAACUGAGAAAGUGUUUACUCACACCACUCUCAUGUCUCUGGAACUGGCUUGACACAAUGGCAUUCUGACAGGGCUGUCUGUCUCAUCAUUAGCUAUGUCACAAUGUCAAAGCAGAGGAAGCUGCAGCAACCAGUAAUCCUGCAGUGCUUCUAGAAGGUGUGACCUUGACUGGAGCUCUGGUCUGCGGUGGCUGCCUGCACCUCGUUACAGUGAUGCUCCACUCCCUCACAUCAAAUUGAUCAAGUUCCCUGAAGAGACCAGACUGCUCAGGUCCUUCCCACAGGCCAACAUGGUGUCCCAGACUGAGUGGACGUUUUAUCCCAACUUUGGUCAGCCCAGAACCUUCCAUGUUGGCAAACGCUGUUUGCUGGAGGGAGGUCACCAGUAUAGGACCAUACGGUGUUCUUCAGAGAGAACUCUGGAGGUCACCAUCGGGAGGAAAAAACAAGCCAGGUUUACCUGCCAUUCUGCACCUGGUUCUAGACCCUAUCUAACACCUGAGUACAGUCCUGACUUUCACAAGUUUGGAUCAACAUUACCAACAACACAUUUUGGGUCACUGACCUUCAGUGCAGAUACAUUCGUUCCUCUUCAGCCACCUCCAAAAAAGACAUGUAUUCCAUAUGUAGGGAGGAAGAGGAUGGAGGACAGGGAGGCAGACAUACUGGAAGUGAAGAAGCUGAGUAAAUGGAGGCCUGCACCAGUCAUAUUCAAAACUGUGCUGGACAACUGACAUGUCAAAAUGUUUUUUGGAUGAAUGAGGAGAAAUGGAUAACGAUUCCAAACUGUAUAUUAUGAUCAUUCAGCAUGAUUACAGCCACAUGGUUUUGAUUCUACUGUAGUUUGAUAAGGAAGUUUGGUGGGAGUAGGGGAUCAAUGAUGUAAUAAAUAGUGACUAAUUGUCAUGACAUCAUUUGGA